rnacentral:rRNA from 1 species
UACGUAGGUGACAAGCGUUGUCCGGAUUUACUGGGCGUAAAGAGCGCGCAGGCGGUCGUUCAAGUCGAGUGUGAAAGCCCCCGGCUCAACUGGGGAGGGUCAUUCGAUACUGAUCGACUCGAAGGCAGGAGAGGGUAGUGGAAUUCCCGGUGUAGUGGUGAAAUUCGUAGAUAUUGGGAAGAACACCGGUGGCGAAGGCGGCGCUCUGGACCGAGACUGACGCUGAGGCGCGAAAGCGUGGGGAGCAAACAGG